UACGUAGGGCGCAAGCGUUGUCCGGAAUUAUUGGGCGUAAAGAGCUCGUAGGCGGCUUGUCACGUCGGGUGUGAAAGCCCGGGGCUUAACCCCGGGUCUGCAUUCGAUACGGGCUAGCUAGAGUGUGGUAGGGGAGAUCGGAAUUCCUGGUGUAGCGGUGAAAUGCGCAGAUAUCAAGGAGGAACACCGGUGGCGAAAGGCGGAUCUCUGGGCCGCAUUACUGACGUGAGGAGCGAAAGCGUGGGGAGCAAACAGGAUUAGAACCUACCUACGUAGUCCAAGACCAGUCUCU
rnacentral:rRNA from 1 species